rnacentral:tRNA from 1 species
GCAGUCGUGGCCGAGUGGUUAAGGCGAUGAACUAGAAAUCCAUUGGGGUCUCCCCGCACAGGUUCGAAUCCUGUCGGCUGCG